GACAGAGGGGGCAAGCGUUGCUCGGAAUUACUGGGCGUAAAGGGCGCGUAGGCGGGAUGGCAAGUCGGUCGUGAAAUCCCUCGGCUCAACCGAGGAACGUCGAUCGAUACUGCUGUUCUUGAGGAUUGCAGAGGAGACUGGAAUUCCCGGUGUAGCGGUGAAAUGUGUAGAGAUCGGGAGGAAGGCCAGUGGCGAAGGCGACUUCCUGGCCUGUUCUUGACGCUGAGGCGCGAAAGCUAGGGGAGCAAACGGG
rnacentral:rRNA from 1 species